GGGCUGCAGUGGGGAAUUUUGGACAAUGGGGGCAACCCUGAUCCAGCCAUUCCGCGUGAGUGAAGAAGGCCUUCGGGUUGUAAAGCUCUUUCAGCUGGAAAGAAACGGUGAGCUCUAACAUAGCUUGCUAAUGACGGUACCAGCAGAAGAAGCACCGGCUAACUACGUGCCAGCAGCCGCGGUAAUACGUAGGGUGCGAGCGUUAAUCGGAAUUACUGGGCGUAAAGCGUGCGCAGGCGGUUUUGUAAGACAGAUGUGAAAUCCCCGGGCUUAACCUGGGAACUGCAUUUGUGACUGCAAGGCUAGAGUGUGGCAGAGGGGGGUAGAAUUCCACGUGUAGCAGUGAAAUGCGUAGAUAUGUGGAGGAACACCAAUGGCGAAGGCAGCCCCCUGGGAUAACACUGACGCUCAUGUACGAAAGCGUGGGUAGCAAACAGGAUUAGAUACCCUGGUAGUC
rnacentral:rRNA from 1 species